CGGGUGGAUCCGCAAAAGUCGGCUUGCGAAAUUCAGCUCGGAAGGCUGGUGCAGCUGGCAGGUUCACGAGAUCUUUCAUGGACUCGCCUGCCGUCUGCCCGCCGGCUUGACGUGUGCACUUUUCGCAGGCAGAGCGCCACGACCGGUUCUCGGGCAGUCAGAAGGCGGCGGGGAAGGUAGGCGGGCGCUUCGGCGCUUGCUGUUAUAGCCUCGCCUGUCCUGAUCUGCUUCUGGAGGACCGAGGAGCCGCCGCCCGGCUGAAAGCUACCCUCGCUCUCCUGGGGUGUCUCGACUGGCAGAGACUGGGCAACCGUGUCUGCCGACCGCUCUCCUGGACAGACUGGGGGCUGAAAGAUUGUAGCUGGCUGGGCACAGGGUCGGUGGCGAAUCGGUCGGCACUCCACCCGACCCGUCUUGAAACACGGACCAAGGAGUCUAACAUGCGCGCGAGUCGUUGGGUGGUACGAAACCCGAAGGCGAAGUGAAAGCGAGGGCCGUCCUCGCGACGUGCUCAGGUGGGAUCCCUUCACUCCCUGUGGAGGGCGCACCACCGGCCCGUCUCGUUCGCGCUGUCGAGGAGGCGGAGCAAGAGCGUGCACNNNNNNNNNNNNNNNNNNGUGAACUAUGCCUGAGUAGGAUGAAGCCAGAGGAAACUCUGGUGGAGGNNNNNNNNNNNNNNNACGUGCAAAUCGAUCGUCAAACUUGGGUAU
rnacentral:rRNA from 1 species